UCUAAUGUGGCAGAAUUAUUAUGCAAUGAAUUUAAGAUUCAUAGAUAGAGAUUAAGAUCUUUUUUUAGAA
rnacentral:tRNA from 1 species